CCUACGGGCGGCAGCAGUGAGGAAUAUUGGUCAAUGGACGAGAGUCUGAACCAGCCAAGUAGCGUGAAGGAUGACUGCCCUAUUGGUUGUAAACUUCUUUUAUAUGGGAAUAAAAUGUUCCACGUGUGGGAUUCUGUAUGUACCAUAUGAAUAAGGUUCGGCUAACUCCGUGCCAGCAGCCGCGGUAAUACGGAGGCUCCGAGCGUUAUCCGGAUUUAUUGGGUUUAAAGGGAGCGUAGGUGGAUUGUUAAGUCAGUUGUGAAAGGUUGCGGCUCAACCGUAAGAUUGCAGUUGAAACUGGCAGUCUUGAGUACAGUAGAGGUAGGCGGAAUUCGUGGUGUAGCAGUGAAAUGCUUAGAUAUCGCGAAGAACUCUGAUUGCGAAGGCAGCUCACUGGACUGCAACUGACACUGAGGCUCGAAGGUGUGGGUAUCAAACAGGAUUAGAUACCACAGUAGUC
rnacentral:rRNA from 1 species